UUUAAGUGCAAUCAUAAGUUUUCGCGUCCAACUUUAAUUAUCUGUUUUAUUUAAAAAAAAUUAUAAUUAGUAUUUUUAUUGUUAUGAGAUGAUAAAACAUGAAUAAUACUUUACUCGUAACUUAUGUUUUUAAUUUUUUUAAAAAAAAUUUAAAAAAAUAGAUGAUUAAAGUUGCGCGUGGAAAAUCAUGGGUACAUUUAAA
rfam:Oryza barthii chromosome 3, whole genome shotgun sequence.